GUUUACUUCUAGCAACGCUAUCCUCGUGCUGUCAGAGUAAGUGGCAAAGCUCCAGCAUCAGUGAUUUUGUUGUUAGUGGUA
rnacentral:pre_miRNA from 14 species